GGUCUUGCAGUUAAACUUUUAAUAUUAGAUUGCAAAUCUAAAGGUGAAAAUUAAUUUUUCUAAGGCUU
rnacentral:tRNA from 1 species